rnacentral:rRNA from 1 species
CCUACGGGAGGCAGCAGUGAGGAAUAUUGGACAAUGGAGGCAACUCUGAUCCAGCCAUGCCGCGUGUAGGAAGACUGCCCUAUGGGUUGUAAACUACUUUUAUAUGGGAAGAAUAGGUCUACGUGUAGUCUGUUGACGGUACCAUAAGAAUAAGGACCGGCUAACUCCGUGCCAGCAGCCGCGG